AAGAAACAGAGGAACACACUGUUGACAGGAAGUGAGGUCACAGUAGUUUUCAGCUGAAAAGCUCUGCUCACUUUCUGUCCGUUCUGUUUCGUCGUAUCCUCAGUUCUACUGAUGUGUCGUCUAAUCUUUGGUUUGACACAGGAAGUAUUUCUUCACUCAAUUUACUCAAUCCUAGUUCCUGCCAAAACACCCUGCGAGUUAUUAGCCGCGCCCAAAAGUGUGCGAUAAGCGAAUAAAUGUCCAGCGUGUCCACGUCCUCCUCGGAGACUCUCACAUCUCGUCCCAGUCGCCCGUGUGAUGAACACGCAGCGACUGCCCCUCAUUAUUCUCAUGGUUGUGCAAACAACGGCCCUCAGUUCUUUCCAUACAAUGGAAACUCACAUGCACGCUCGUCCGGCGUGCACGGUACAACCUCGAGAUGGGUUACGCAACAGGGCCGUGAAGCUACGGCUGUGCAGCGAGUUCUUCUCUGCUCUCUGGGGAACAUCACACACUGUCACCGCGCUUCUGUGUUCUGACGAAACGCAAACAUGUGGACGAGUAGACAAACAGGUUUGCUGGUCAAAAAAAAUAAAGUAUAUAUAUAUAUACACUGUGUAUAUAUAAAUAUCAAGUACUUCAGUAUGUCCUUGAGAUACAUUAGGCAAAGUCAAAGACCGACUAAAUCAGUUUGUUUCGUGUGUGACGUUAAAAAUUUUCCUUUAAUUGGAAUUGACAUAAAAAUGAUGUGUAGCUAGCCGGUGCGACUUAUACUCCGAAGCGACUAAUAUAUGUUUUUCUUCUACUUCAUUUUCCGUUUUUUUGGCUGGUGCGAUUUAUACUCUGAAAAUAAGGUAUAUUUCGGCUCCAUUUCCGGCUGUUUUGAGAUCAGACUCUUACGACUCGACGUUCUUACGACUUUUUGUCAAACUGAACCUGAGGCUUCUUCACACAGCGACGUGUCCUGCUUUUUGUCUUGAGGAGACGUGUCUCUUUUUGGACGUGCCAGUGUGAGAGAAGAGUUUUUUUUUUUUUUUUCUCUCUCGAUGUCUCAGACCUUGUGCUGGUGAUGGAGGUGGUGUUUGGGGAAGGGCGGGGGGUGAGUUGGAUGUGGGUCUGUCAGACUGUGUGGAAAAACCUUUGUUGAUAUAAACAGUCCUGUCGACUUCAGGUUGGUAUGAAAACACUGACAAAGGGGUUCUGUCUGGAACAGCUCUCAGCUUGGCGGCCGUUCCUGGAUCUAAAUUGGGAUGUUUCUGCAGGACGUUCACCCAGCAACCACUGACCCUGGAACCCUGGAACCCUGGAACCCUGGAACCCUGGAACCCUGGAGCAGGGACCGGAGCGCGGGUUUAAUACAGCACUGCCCAACAGGAGACACAGACGGAGCUGUAUUUAAUGUUACCAGUUAGACUGAGCAGCACAGCAGGGGGCGCUCUUACCUAACUUUGACCAAGGUCACUGAGGGGCUGAAUGUCACCAGGGAUUAAGGAGAAUAAAGAACGAAGCCUUCUGACCAGA